GUCCACGCCGUAAACGAUGUCAACUAGCCGUUGGGAGCCUUGAGCUUUUAGUGGCGCAGCUAACGCAUUAAGUUGACCGCCUGGGGAGUACGGCCGCAAGGUUAAAACUCAAAUGAAUUGACGGGGGCCCGCACAAGCGGUGGAGCAUGUGGUUUAAUUCGAAGCAACGCGAAGAACCUUACCAGGCCUUGACAUCCUAUGAACUUUCCAGAGAUGGAUUGGUGCCUUGGGAGCAUAGAGACAGGUGCUGCAUGGCUGUCGU
rnacentral:rRNA from 1 species